GGAGGGGUGCCGGAGCGGUUGAACGGGGCGGUCUCGAAAACCGUUGUCCUCUUUAAGGGGACCGUGGGUUCGAAUCCCACCUCCUCCGCCA
rnacentral:tRNA from 1 species